GUAGCGCAAUGGAAAGCGCGUUGGACUUCUAAUCCAAAGGUGGUGGGUUCGAAUCCCAUAUGACA